CAUGUGAAUCUUGGGUGUCUGAAGAAGCAACCUGAUCAACGGAUUUGGGUAGAGGGACCAUAUUUCCAAGGAAACUUGAACUAGUAGCAAUAGGAGGACCUGAUGCAACACAGGAUGCAACCAAUCGAAGCACUUCGGGUGAAGGAGACAAUCCAGAGCUUUUCUUCAUUAGAGGAAAUAUUCUAGUUGAAGGAUUCACAUUCACACUUAGAGGAGGAAUAUUAAGGUUAGCUUCAUUCGAAGGAAGUCCUGAAGUUCUGUCCAUCACUCCAGAAAGCAGAGG
rnacentral:misc_RNA from 1 species